CAGGUACCAGUAAGGACCACCUCCAGGUCUCCAGUGCUGUCGCGCCGAGAGUCCCCUCUGCCCCAGCAGCCCGGGAUCGCGGCCGGACCGAGGAUCGCUGCAGGUGUGGAGCAGCGGCCUCUGUGGGACCGGGUGGAGAAGCUGCAGCCGCGACCCGGCAGCGGCAGCUCCUCCGGAUCCUCCAACUCCAGCUCUCAGGCUAGCCCUGGGGACCGCUUCAGGCCACGCUGUGAGUCCCCUGCUUCCUCCAAAUCUGAAGGAUCGCCUCUCCAGCGGCCUGAAAAUGUUCCAAAGAAACCAGAUGAAAAGAACCUGGCCAGGCCGACUCGACCAGCUGUAAGUCCCAUUCAUAAAGUGCCGGUUAAACUUGUUUGAUGCUGAAUAGGUGAAAACGGUGUUGUGUUUUUCUCUUAUUUUCCACUACUCUAAUUAUUCAACCACCUGGUGAAUCCAAUGGUUGUUGGGGAACCUCUUAGGGUGAUGCGGUAAGCCAGUUACAUGAGAUUACAUAACCACACCUUUGCUAUGCUUGCACCAUUGCCCCUCUCACUGCAUUAUAUGAUAAUGGCCUUUUGUCCUUGGAUGGUUACGGUCUUCCCUGCCUGUGAUCUAUUGCCUCCUGCUGGCGUCUUUCCUCUUGCCUGCACAGUUCCUUAUCACUUUAUUGCUUGUCCACAC